rnacentral:rRNA from 1 species
AGAGUUUGAUCMUGGCUCAGAACGAACGCUGGCGGCGUGCUUAACACAUGCAAAGUCGAACGCGAACGAGUUCUUCGGGAACUUUAGUAGAGUGGCGCACGGGUGAGUAACGCGUAAGUAAUCUAUCCUGAUAUCUGGAAUAACRCUCCGAAAGGUGUGCUAAUACCGGAUACGCUGAGUAAUCAGGAAAGGUGGCCUCUUCAUGAAAGCUACUGUAUCAGGAGGAGCUUGCGUACCAUUAGCUAGUUGGUGGGGUAAUGGCCUACCAAGGCGACGAUGGUUAGCGGGUCUGAGAGGAUGAUCCGCCACACUGGAACUGGAACACGGACCAGACUCCUACGGGAGGCAGCAGUGAGGAAUAUUGCGCAAUGGGGGAAACCCUGACGCAGCGACGCCGCGUGGAUGAUGAAGGCCUUCGGGUCGUAAAAUCCUGUCAGAUGGAAAGAAAUGCUAUAUGCCUAAUAUGUGUAUAGUUUGACUGUACCAUCAAAGGAAGCACCGGCUAACUCCGUGCCAGCCGCCGCGGUAAUA